UUUCCGCGGAAACGAGCGCCCGCGCACGCAUGCCGGCAGUUCGGUCAUCGAGUGUUCGGUUUUACGCGGCGGCUUUCGAAAACUAAUGAAAUUAUACAGGUUAGUUUCAAUAACGGCCGACACCGACGUGGAACGCCGUCAACGGGUCGGCAGUGAAACGGCCGCUCGGAAUCCAAAGCGGAACGUUCUGUUGUUCGCCUCUCAUCCGAUACCUUACGGCUCGCGUACCUGACGUGCACGCUGUCGAUGGAACAAUUGAUUUGGAUUUCGGUGCAAGUUGCG